UUUUUUUUUGGGUCUAGCUGCCUUUCUGCAUGCAUUUAGGUCACUGAUUGAAGCUAUGAGACUAUUAUGUGCGGUGCUGCCAUGGCUACUCUGUGUGGGGGAGCUUCAAGCAAAUGUAAAAUCUUUGUAUCCUGACUCUGAAACUGCAGAUGUGGUAAAACCUCAGCAGGCCUCAGGUUACCAGUCCAACCUUCAGCUCCAGCUUCCCAACUACCGGCCCUGGUCACAUUUCCAGAUUCCUAAUUAUCAGUCCCGGUCAGAUUCCCAGAUUCCCAAUUACCAGUCCUGGUUGCGUUCUGAGGUUCCCACCUAUAAGCCUCGGUCAAAUUAUCAGAUGCCCAGCUAUAAACCUUGGUCACAUUACCAGAUUCCCAACUAUAGGCCUUGGUCACAUUACCAGAUUCCCAACUACAAGCCUAGGUCACAACACCGGGUUCCCAAUUACCAGGCGUCGUUGCCGUCCCAGGCUUCCAGGUAUCAGGUUUGGCCUCGGUCCCUGGUUCCUGCCCACCAAUACCAGGUUGGAUUACAGGAUCAGGCCUUCCAAAGCAGUACUCUGCCUCAAAGUCAGGGCACACAGAGAAAGCCUCAGACUUGGAGGCAAGUACAGAAUUCCUAGCACAGGUUUCCGACACGUACCCAGAGGCAGGGCUCUCAGCGCAGGCUUCAGAUUGAGACCCAGAGGCAGGGCUCCCAGGAUAUCCUUCAGACUCAGCCUCAAAGCAGAACGUGGCCUUAUCCUAGGGGCAGGGCUUUUCCCAUAGACAACCAUCAAGCUUGGAAAUAGGCUUAAUUAGCACACAUGAGGAUGCUCAAGAUAUGUCAGAAAAUGCAUCUUUAACUACUUGGACCCAAUUAAAAUGAUCUUUGUAAAAAUAGUAAUAAAAAACUUCUAUUUGUUUCUUGCUGUGAAGCAAAUCUCUACAGUUCAGUCCUGGAAUUGAGAACUUAUGCACAUGCUGUGCUGAAGUCUUGUCUCAGAGGCCAAACUGCUGAUGUACUUUACAAGCUUGCACCUACUACAGACACGUGUAUCUGCUCAAGUAGGAUGACUGUCUUGACUCCAUACAGUGAAGGAAGAUGGAGAGUGUGGUAUUGGGUGGGUUUGCUCUAUGUUGGGAUGGAGCACUGCUUAGCAUAUUUUAUUUUGGGUAUCUGCAAUUAAUAUUCAUUAUGUUGAUGAGCAGAAUGAAUGUUCAAAAUCAUGCUGUACUUGAAAUUACUUACUGUAUAAUUUGUUUCUCCUCUUCUGUAAAAUACCUCAAAUUGUGCAAUAUUUAAAAUGACUUCUGCACUGCCAAAAAUGACUUACGCAUCAAUUAAAAUCCUUACAGACUUUAAUCACUUUACUGAAAUAUAUAAUUAUUCUUUGUUUGUUGUAAAAAC